rnacentral:rRNA from 1 species
CAGUAGCCGCGGUAAUACGUAGGGUGCAAGCGUUAAUCGGAAUUACUGGGCGUAAAGCGUGCGCAGGCGGUUCUAUAAGACAGAUGUGAAAUCCCCGGGCUCAACCUGGGAACUGCAUUUGUGACUGUAGAGCUGGAGUGCGGCAGAGGGGGAUGGAAUUCCGCGUGUAGCAGUGAAAUGCGUAGAUAUGCGGAGGAACACCGAUGGCGAAGGCAAUCCCCUGGGCCUGCACUGACGCUCAUGCACGAAAGCGUGGGGAGCAAACAGGAUUAGAUACCCCAGUAGUCCCUGUCUCUUAUAC